rnacentral:rRNA from 1 species
CAGCAGCCGCGGUAAUACGAAGGGGGCUAGCGUUGUUCGGAAUCACUGGGCGUAAAGGGUGCGUAGGCGGAUUCUUAAGUCAGGGGUGAAAUCCCGAGGCUCAACCUCGGAACUGCCUUUGAUACUGGGGAUCUUGAGUCCGGAAGAGGUGAGUGGAACUGCGAGUGUAGAGGUGAAAUUCGUAGAUAUUCGCAAGAACACCAGUGGCGAAGGCGGCUCACUGGUCCGGAACUGACGCUGAGGCACGACAGCGUGGGGAGCAAACAGGAUUAGAUACCCCUGUAGUCCCUGUCUCUUAUAC